rnacentral:tRNA from 1 species
UAGACAGAUGCUUAUAUGGUUGAAGCGGUUAGUUGUUACCUAGCACGAUUUGUGGGAUCGAAGCCCUCCUGUCUAG